CAGCCCCGCGGUAAUACGUAGGUGGCAAGCGUUGUCCGGAAUUAUUGGGCGUAAAGGGCUCGCAGGCGGUUUCUUAAGUCUGAUGUGAAAGCCCCCGGCUCAACCGGGGAGGGUCAUUGGAAACUGGGAAACUUGAGUGCAGAAGAGGAGAGUGGAAUUCCACGUGUAGCGGUGAAAUGCGUAGAGAUGUGGAGGAACACCAGUGGCGAAGGCGACUCUCUGGUCUGUAACUGACGCUGAGGAGCGAAAGCGUGGGGAGCGAACAGGAUUAGAUACCCCGGUAGUCCCUGUCUCUUAUACA
rnacentral:rRNA from 1 species